rnacentral:rRNA from 1 species
AAUGAACGUUGGCGGCGUGGAUUAGGCAUGCAAGUCGUGCGCGAACUGUAGCAAUACAGGGAAAGCGGCGUAAGGGAGAGUAAUACGUAGGUAUCUACCCAUGGGUCUGGGAUAGCGGCGGGAAACUGCCGGUAAUACCAGAUAACGUCUCCGGACCAAAGGUGUGAUUCCACCUGUGGAGGAGCCUACGGCCUAUUAGCUAGUUGGCAGGGUAACGGCCUACCAAGGCUUGGAUGGGUACGGGGUGUGAGAGCAUGCCCCCGCUCACUGGGACUGAGACACUGCCCAGACACCUACGGGUGGCUGCAGUCGAGAAUCUUCGGCAAUGGGCGCAAGCCUGACCGAGCGACGCCGCGUGCGGGAUGAAGGCCUGGUGUAACGCUGUCGUAGGGAGUGAACGCUAGUGAGUUAUCUCAUUAGUUUGUACUGAACCUAGGAGGAAGGGCCGGCGUAAUCUCGUGCCAGCA